GACGAGGCCUCACGAACGUUAUUCGGAAUUACUGGGCUUAAAGGGUGCGUAGGCGGCGCGGAAAGUAGGGGUGUGAAAUCCCUCGGCUCAACCGAGGAACUGCGCUCUAAACUACCGUGCUCGAGGGAGAUAGAGGUAAGCGGAACUUAGGGUGGAGCGGUGAAAUGCGUUGAUAUCAUCAGGAACACCAGUGGCGAAAGCGGCUUACUGGGUCUCUUCUGACGCUGAGGUACGGAAAGCUAGGGGAGCGAAGGGG
rnacentral:rRNA from 1 species